rnacentral:lncRNA from 1 species
CCCCCCAGGUGUACCUGGAGCUGGGGUUCCCCCCAGGUGUGUCCCCAGGUGUACCCCAGCCCCAUUUCUCCCCCAGGUGUACCCCAGCCCCAUUUCUCCCCUCCCCAGGUGUACCUGGAGCUGGGGUUCCCCCCACAGUCCCAGCGCUGGAUCAUUGGGCAGAGCCUGUGCCGGGACGGGCGCAGCCUGAGCUCCUACGGCAUCCGGCACCACGGGGACCCGGCCUUCCUCUUCCUCCUGCCUGCAGCCCAGCCUGACCCCCACGGGCUGCUCAGGGCCCUGGGGAUGGAACAGGAGACACCUGGGACAGCCCAGCCUGACCCCCACGGGCUGCUGAGGGCCCUGGGGAUGGAACAGGAGACACCUGGGACAGGUAACCUUCAUCAUCAUCAUCCUCCUCAUCAUCCUUCUCCUUCCUCAUCCUCAUCAUCAUCCUGCUCCUUCCUCUUCCUCCUGCUCCUUCCUCUUCCUCCUGCCCGCGGCCACACCUGACCCACACGGGCUGCUGAGGGCCCUGGGGAUGGAACAGGAGACACCUGGGACAGCCCAGCCUGACCCCCACGGGCUGCUGAGGGCCCUGGGGAUGGAACAGGAGACACCUGGGACAGCCCAGCCUGACCCCCACGGGCUGCUGAGAGCCCUGGGGAUGGAACAGGAGACACCUGGGACAGGUAACCUUCAUCAUCAUCAUCAUCAUCAUCAUCCUGCUCCUUCCUCAUCCUCAUCAUCAUCCUGCUCCUUCCUCAUCCUCCUGCUCCUUCCUCUUCCUCCUGCCCGCGGCCACACCUGACCCCCACG